rnacentral:ncRNA from 1 species
GUAUUUCCGAGGAAGAGAUAAGUACGAAGAUGCAGCCUUGAACAGAGAGCCGGGGGAGCUGGAAACCGGUCAGGGACGGCUUCGGAAAAUGGUCUUGGAGGAACCGCUUUUGAGCGAAAACGGCGUUCUGCCGGCGUAAAGGAGCGGCGUGAUCCAGCGUUAAUGGACGGCCUGCGUCAAGCAGCGCCGGCGAGCCUGCGAUCCGAAAGGGUCCGGGGAAAUUGGGUGGUAACGCGUGAGAUAACUCUCGUCCCAUAG